UUAUAGCUGUCCACUUCACCAUUCUUAGGGUGUGGCCCUCAUUCUCAUGGUCCAAGAUAGCUGCCAGGGCUCCAGCUUUAUUUCAUAUUCCAGGUAGCAGAUUGGAGGAAGGGAACAAGAAGGGAGCAAAGGGCACAUGACAGCUGUCUUUCGAGUUGGUUUCCUCAGAAGCACGCACAUUACUUUUUAUAACUCAUUGGCCAAAACUUAGUCACACAGUCACAAUAGUUACAAGGAAAGAUAGGGAAUACAGAACUUUUAGCUAGGCACUAGAGUGACAUCAGUGGGAAUGGCAAAAUAAAGAUCUCUAAAAAUCCAUUUCUCCAUAAAAGUAAUGAGAACACAGGCAAAAAUUGUCAAAGUGUUUUUCAGAAUGCUGGAUAUAAAUCAAAGACUUGGAAUAAUCCAAGAAGCAUUUAUCCAAGAAAAGUUGCUGAAUCAAGGGCCAUGUGAAGGCUUUCUCUGAAAAAGCUCGUCUAAUCCCACAGCUCCAGUUACCAAAUCUGUGCUGAUUUUUCUAGAACUUAGUCUCCAGCCUAAGUCUUUCUCUGAAGCUCCAGCACCUUAUACCCAAUGGCCUCCUGAACAACUCCCCUUGGAUAUUCUGCAGACUUCCUAGUGGGUGUGGAGUGGUAUCUCAUUGUGGUUUUGAUUUUCCUGAUGGCCAGUGAUGGUAGCCAUUGCACCAUCAGCCGGGCUCCUGGAAGGGAAUCAAGUGGAGCAGACCAGAAUCUAAGACCAACGCAAGCCUGGCCAACCCACGUGCAGCACACAGACCAGUGAGAGAAAAAAAGAAAGGUUUCUGGUUUGCUACUAAGCCCUGAUAGAAGCUGAAUGUUUGACUAUGGGAAAUCAAGUAAGCCUACGAACUGGAUGCUCUCUGAUCAGCCAAGGCAUGAGGUCAGUCACAUGCAGCAUCAGUCCAUGGUCAGAGGGUGGUGGUCUAUGUAAGGUCAGACUGAAGCAGGUCUAGAAGGCAUAAACAAGAUGUGUAAGCAGGUGGCUCACACCUGGUCGACACCUGCUCCUCCUUUGACACCUGCUCCUGCUGCAUUGCUGCCCCUGCGUCAGUCCACACCCAUUGCCUCAUGGAGAGUUUCCUAGGAGCAGCUUUGGAGCAAGAAAAAGCUCAUUCUUGAUUUACAGAUUGGUCUGCACAAAAUGUUGACUAACAGCUGCUGUACUGGACAUUGCAAAUAUAUCUCUGUCAUUGCAGAACGUGUGUUAGUGCUGGCUAGAUCUGGCUGAUUGCAUUCUUCAUGGUGUAUUUAACACUUUCCUUUGCCAACUCCUAUAGUUGGGUCUAGAGGUUCAAUUUGCUUUGUGUUUGGUUUUGUUUGUUUGGCCAGACUACUUCAUGAAUCGUAUUGUCUUUUUCAACUAAGCAGGCUUGUAAUGACUCGUUGCCCCACUUGUCAUCAGCUGCUGUUAAUCAAUAAUAGAUUCAUUAUUCCAUUAGGCUCUGAAAAU